GACGAACGCUGGCGGCGUGCUUAACACAUGCAAGUCGAACGGUAAGGCCCUUCGGGGUACACGAGUGGCGAACGGGUGAGUAACACGUGGGUGAUCUGCCCUGCACUUCGGGAUAAGCCUGGGAAACUGGGUCUAAUACCGGAUAGGACCACUGCCUGCAUGGGUGGUGGUGGAAAGCUUUUGCGGUGUGGGAUGGGCCCGCGGCCUAUCGGCUUGUGGGUGGGGUGAUGGCCUACCAAGGCGACGGGGGGUAGCCGGCCUGAGGGGGUGACCGGCCACACUGGGACGGAGAUACGGCCCAGACUCCCACGGGAGGCAGCAGUGGGGAAUAUUGCAAAAUGGGCGCAAGCCUGAUGCAGCGCCGCCGCGUGAGGGAUGACGGCCUUCGGGUUGUAAACCUCUUUCAGCCCCGACGAAGCGCAAGUGACGGUAGGUGCAGAAGAAGGACCGGCCAACUACGUGCCAGCCGCCGCCGUAA
rnacentral:rRNA from 1 species